UAAUACCUAAAUACCGCAUGGUAUUAAGGUCAAAUCUACGGAGGUUACAGAUGGGCAUGCGUGCCAUUAGCUAGAUGGUAAGGUAACGGCUUACCAUGGCAAUGAUGGCUAGGGGUUCUGCAAGGAAGGCCCCCCACACUGGUACUGAGACACGGACCAGACUCCUACGGGAGGCAGCAGUGAGGAAUAUUGGUCAAUGGAGGCAACUCUGAACCAGCCAAGCCGCGUGAAGGAAGACUGUCCUAUGGAUUGUAAACUUCUUUUGUGGCAGAAUAAACUACCGUACUUGUACGGUUUUGCAUGUAUGCCAUGAAUAAGCAUCGGCUAACUCCGUGCCAGCAGCCGCGGUAAUACGGAGGAUGCAGGCGUUAUCCGGAUUUAUUAGGUUUAAAGGGUGUUCAGGCUGCCUGGUAAGUCAGGGGUGAAAGUCGGUUGCUCAACGAUCGAAUUGCCUUUGAAACUGUCAGGCUCGAGUAUGGAUGCGGUAGGCGGAAUGUGUAGUGUAGCGGUGAAAUGCAUAGAUAUUACACAGAACACCGAUUGCGAAGGCAGCUUACCAAACCAGCACUGACGCUGAAGCACGAAGGCGUGGGGAGCGAACAGGAUUAGAUACCCUGGUAGUCCACGCCGUAAACUUUGCUCACUCGCUGUUGGCGAUAGACAGUCAGCGGCCAAGGGAAACCGAUAAGUGAGCCACCUGGGGAGUACGGCCGCAAGGUUGAAACUCAAAGGAAUUGACGGGGGCCCGCACAAGCGGUGGAACAUGUGGUUUAAUUCGAUGAUACGCGAGAAACCUUACCUGGGCUUAAAUGUGAAGUGCAUUGAUUGGGAACAAUCAUUUCCUUCGGGACCCUUUACAAGGUGCUGCAUGGUUGUCGUCAGCUCGUGCCGUGAGGUGUCGGGUUAAGUCCCAUAACGAGCGCAACCCCUAUUGUUAGUUACCAGCGCGUAAAGGCGGGGACUCUAGCGAAACUGCCGGUGUAAACCGCGAGGAAGGUGGGGAUGACGUCAAAUCAGCACGGCCCUUAUGUCCAGGGCUACACACGUGUUACAAUGGCCGGUACAGCGGGCAGCUA
rnacentral:rRNA from 1 species